rnacentral:lncRNA from 1 species
UUCCUAGAUCAAUAUUAAAACUUACAAAUGCAGCUUCUUUAGUCAGCAAAUACUAACCCCUACAUAAUUUAUACACUCGUAGGGGUAAAACAUGAAGCUUAUCACAUAAAUUUUCAACUUGUAGCUUAUAUUAUACUCCUGUAGGCAAAUAGGCAAAAAGUAUAUUUCUAUAUACAAUCAUAAUAUUAUGGGAACUGUCCGCAUGUAUUUUCCACAUAGUCUUCACUCACCUGAGCAUGCAGUGGGUUAUACCUUCAUGUGAUGUGAAAAAGAACACUGUAGAAAUAUUAAAAACACAUGUGAAAAUAGUAUUCCCCUAUAUUAUUAUUAUUAUUGUGUUUUUAUGUCCUAUGAUGAAACAACUUUAAAGAUGAUCGAGGGGUUCAAUAUUAUAGGCCUCUAAAGUUUUAUGCAGUACACAAAUAGGAGACAACCUUGACUACAUCAAUGUCAAGGCAAUGUAUACAUAUAAUUAAUGUUUUACUCUAUUUAUGUCUAAAGAUAGUAUGUACCUAUAAAAAGGGAAUCGUCACUCACAUAGGUUUAGCAUUUUUUAUUUGUACCUGAAGCAAAAUAUCUACAACUUUCCCAUUUUUUAUUCAUUAGCUGCAUGCAAGAUGUGUAAACCAACAAUUUUAUAAAGACAUCACCACCUUAUUUCACACAAGUAUACGCUAUCAUUGACCAAGAUUAGCUAGAUGUGGAAGCGUAAGAGUUGUUAAUUUCCAGAUACUUGUAAAUAAAAAAUGCCUAAUUUUCAGACGUGAUGUAGUUGGAUUUGGGUAAUUUUGCAGCUUGCUAAUGUUAUAGUAGUAUUACUACUACCUACCACGCGCACACAAAUAUAUACUGCUGCGUAUUCCCCCUAUAGCAUUGCAUUACCAUGUCCUUCUCAGGAAGAAACCAAUUUGGGGGUUAUCAUGUUAAAAAUGAGCCCAAACAGUCCUAAAAACCCUGCAUAGAUUGCCUCGUAAGAAGUGAAACUGAAAGUAACAAAAAAACUGAUGCUAUAUAUUUUAUUUCUUUUUUUCUGAAUUGUGAGGAAACAACCUAGCGGCUUAUAUAAGAGUGACUAUGCAAAGCAAAGGAAUCAUAGUGUCUGCUAGUGUGGCUUAUAUAAGAGUGACUAUGCAAAGAAAAAGAAUCAUAGUGUCUGCUAGUGUUUGUGGCUUAGGAGGAGUUGCUUACUUGCAUUUACUUUUAAGCUAAAUUGUAUUUGGCUCCAAUAUGAUCCUGAGGUUGCAUUGCAACAGUCAAUCAAAGAACUCAGUCUCAUGGAAGAGAAA